ACCUAGCUGAUGAAUCGUAAAUAGGAUGACACAUAUGUCCUAGAU
rnacentral:hammerhead_ribozyme from 1 species